rnacentral:misc_RNA from 1 species
GAUGAAGAACGUAGCGAAAUGCGAUAAGUAAUGUGAAUUGCAGAAUUCAGUGAAUCAUCGAAUCUUUGAACGCACAUUGCGCCCGCCAGUAUUCUGGCGGGCAUGCCUGUUCGAGCGUCAUUUCAACCAUCAAGCCCCCGGCUUGUGUUGGGGACCUGCGGCUGCCGCAGGCCCUGAAAACCAGUGGCGGGCUCGCUAGUCACUCCGAGCGUAGUAAUACAUCUCGCUCAGGGCGUGCUGCGGGUUCCGGCCGUUAAAAGCCUUAUUUACCCAAGGUUGACCUCGGAUCAGGUAGGAAGACCCGCUGAACUUAAGCAUAUCAAUAAGCGGUGGA